UCAACAAAACGCUGCCGUUUCCAAGGUUCUGAAACCCUAAAUGGCUAAAUCAAUUACCAAAUCCCUAAUUUCCUUCUCAGUUCUCAUUCAUCGAGCUUCACUGAAGCUGCCUCAGAGGUGAGAACGCCUCAGUGCCUCACUUUCACACGGGUCGAGCCACCGCCGUCGAGCCACCACAACAACCGUCGAGAACUGAGAACGCCUCACUCUCACACGGGUCUAGCCACCGCCGUCGAGUCACCGCCGUCGAGCCACCGCAGCAGCCGUCGAGAACUGAGAACGCCUCACUCUCACCGUCGAGAACUGAGAAUGCCUCACUCUUACCGUCGUCCCUUUGCUGUCCCCCACUCUCCCUAUUGCAUGUUCUGUUGAAGCCUUGAAGGUGCUUUCGAGCUUCCAGAGUUCCAGGAAAUCAUUCAGCUAUCCUUUUUCUCUCAACCUGAUGGCCCAAUGAUUGGAAAUGGCUCCUUUAAAUCGUCAAUUCUUAUUUCCAGGUAUAAAAGAAGGAUUUUAUUUGGGUCCACCACCGAAAGAUAAGCUUCCCAAGAAUUCUACACAAGGUUCUGUAUUGUUAGGGGCAAUUUCGUAUGGAAAACUGUCAUUUUCAGAGGGGGAGAAUAAAAAUCCAAAAAAGCACCCUGCAUCAUAUCAACUAAUAAUACACAAGGUUCUGUAUUGUUAGUGAUUAAAUGUUUGUUCUAAACCCUGCUGCUGCUGUUUUUUAAUUUAUGAGUAUGCUAUUUUUGAAUUUUUGUUGUUAGAUUUAUUGAUUUCAGAGUUUAGGGUGAUUCAUGAAAUUGAGAAUUGGAUUGUUGGUACUUCUCUAUAUGUAUACUUGUUCUAUGUCUUGGUGCUGAGUCUCACAAAUAUUCUCAAUUACUUACAGCUAUGAUUUCCUUCUUGAAUGAGAUUUUAUUUUUCCAAAAGAAAUCAUAGAAGAUUAGGGUUGUGAAUUUUUUAAUUGAGUGAUGAGUGUAAAGUUGAAGAUGAUGAUGACAAAAGUGCUUGGAAACAUAUAUUUUAAGAGUGUUUUAAA